UACGGAGGGUGCAAGCGUUGUCCGGAUUUAUUGGGUUUAAAGGGUGCGUAGGCGGCCCGUUAAGUCAGUGGUGAAAGCCUCCAGCUCAACUGGAGAACUGCCAUUGAUACUGACGGGCUUGAGUACAGACAAGGUUGGCGGAAUUGAUUGUGUAGCGGUGAAAUGCAUAGAUACAAUCAAGAACACCGAUUGCGUAGGCAGCUAACUAGGCUGUAACUGACGCUGAGGCACGAAAGCGUGGGGAGCGAACAGG
rnacentral:rRNA from 1 species